CCCCCUCGCCCCCAUGUCAUUCUCUGACCUUGUUCCACUUAUGGGGCACUCGAUAUCUGAGGUACCACUACAUUGUACUGUUGUUGCGUUCUCUUAUCUCCUGCUCCAGGAUUGUUUCCAUUUCAGUCUUUUUUUUUUUUUUAGGGGAGACGUGUUCAUCAGCGCAAUUCUCAUGCAGCUAUGUUUUUGUUGUUAAUACCAAUGCUUUCCUUUUUUUGUGUGUGUUUGUUUUUUUGGUUAUUUCUGUGAUAGUGACCUACCACGUGUGAUCAUGACUUACCAAAUACACACUGAGAACUGCAAGGAAACAGGUUGAGAUUGAUAAUAACACGAUCAAUGAUCCUGUUUCUUUGGCACUAGCCAUAAAAAUCAAACAAACAAUAAAAUCAUUGAUUCCACGCCAAAAUAAUUCCCACCCUCAAGCGUACCUAACUACGCCCUAAACAGAACAUGAAAGACAGCAUCCUGCAGGGAGACAGUUGUUCCUCGAGGUUCCAUAUGGGUUGACUUUAAACCCCCCUUGUAGAGCUGUUAUGUGACUUGUUUACCUUAGAAAUCACAAUGUUGAAAACCUAUGCAAAGAUACCAUACCAAACUCAACUGUACAGUGGUACCUGUACUUGCGAACGUCUCUUCAUACACAAUUUUCAAGUUACGAAAUGCCUCAACAGGAAAAUAUUGCCUCUUGGUUCAAAAGAAAUUUCAAAAUACUUUCACCAGUCAGGCGAUUGUUCACUAUGCUGACGUGUGCCUUGGACAUUUUUGAAGGCUUGUCAAGAGUCAACAAAAGCAAACGCCCUUGCAUCAGUUCUUUACACAACGCCAGGCAAAAACAACUUCUGAGAGGACAUGAACUAAAAAGGGCAAAAAAAACGAUGAGGGCCCAGUUAAAAGUUAAAUGACCAUCAUUUGUAUCUUUUAUUCUUUGUUUUUUACAUUGUGCAUAACUCAUUUAUUGUGCCAUAAUCUAAUUGCAACAUGUAUUUGUGACAUUUUGAUGCAUUUUUAUGCUUUACAAAACAUUUUUGUCCUAAUUUUGUGUGGCUUGGAACGGAUUAGCGCAUUUACAUGGAAAAUGCGUGUCUACUUACAAUUUUUCUACUUAGGAAAUUUCUUCCAGAACCAAUUAAUUUCAUACGUAGAGAUACCACUGUAUCUGUAAUCUCUUUAAAAUAAUGUAAAAACAAAAAAUGUAAAACAAAUUCAAAUAAGUUGAACAUAACAGCAAAUAAUCGCCAUCUCGUGUGUAAAAUAGAAAACUUUACAUAGAGCUCUCAAUACCCACCUAUGGUGUCAAAAAUAAUCUCUGUAAAAAUAAAAAUAAAAAAUAAUGGAAGCAAAUUAUUACAUUCCAUAAACUUCAAUACUCCACGCCCAGAAAACCAUCACUUCCCCAUGUUGACUUUGAAACGUGUUGACGAUGGAUGACGUCGCACUUUCACUGUCAACCGUCGACGAUACUACACCACCCUUCCAGUUUGACCAAACCCGCGUGCUACCUGUUAUGCUGCUGUGUUACAAUCAGUGGACAUUCCUUCUGAGGGCGGGGGAUGACGUUUCCCAUCGCAUCCCAAUGCAAACUACUAUGCCAGCGUAACUGUGUUUUGGAAGGAUGCCGUAUGUGUUAUUCCACUUAAGUUAUGUUGUCGAGAGGUGUGUCUAAUUGUUUGCUUGUGCCUACAGAUCUGUGGCUUUAGGCUUGACGGCACAUGACUUAUCACAUCGGUGUUAUUUUUAGUGCGCCUGCGUUUUGCAAAUGACCUUAACUGGACCUAUACGCAUCAACAAUUUAUAGACCAGUAGCAGAUUUUAAGAAUUUGAAGAUUUGGACUGCACAACAAAGCGCUGAAAUUGCGUGGAUGAUGCGGCUUCAUAUUUCGCUGGACUGAUGGAACUGAAAUCGGUCCGUUGGUACUCUUAGUAUGAGUCACUACGGCGUGGAUGCAUGAAACAAGACAGACAUUUCUGCCGGCAUACCUUUGACAUGAGAAAACGUCACAUCUUUGAAAACAGAUGACAGUACUCCCGUUUGCAUCAUUUUCGGGGUGUUCCACUGAGGUUUCUCUGUGCAGCUGUCGUUUCGGUUUCAUUUGACGUCAUUCCCUCUGCUAAUGUCAUUAAGAUCUUUAUCCCACUGGAAGUCGGCGUCCAUCUGGACCACUCGGAAUCACAACAACAAGCCGCUUCUGGUUUGUUCACUUGUCUUGUUCCUCAACCUGGAUUAACACUUACUUCAAAGAAUUCCCAGGACUGCUUAUUUAAUUCUGUUCUGUUUGGUCUCCUGUGGUUUCAAAUUUAACUACAUUAGACUGUAUUUGUUUUUUAAUUCGAAUGAUCCAAACGAAACGCCUCGAGGACAAAAAGUCUGUGGAAAACCAGACGAGACUUUCUGCUAGACAUAUUUAAUGGCAAAUGUCGCGGUCCUUGGGUCACGCGGUUCAACGUGAGCUAGGUGCUCUGUGACAAACGCAAGCAGGAAUGCGAUGAAUUAGCUUCAUGCAAGUGCCAACUUUUAACACGGUAAAGUCUUUCUGUGGGACAUGCCAUUAGGUACACCUGCACAGUAUCAAGCCAUCCAAUACAAAAGAUGCGCCUGAAUUUUUGCCUGUACAAUCAAACAUCAAUUCAUACAUUUAGAUUUUUAAAGUGUGUGUGUGUGUGUGUGUAUGUGUAUAUAUAUAUAAAUGGACAAAAUAAGUGUCGUUAUAAAUUAAAUCAUUAAAAAGUUUCUCCAUAAUGAUAUGAAAAUAAAAAAAGACCAAGUUUUAUGAUUAAAAAUAUAAUA